rnacentral:ncRNA from 2 species
GCGUAGGACAAAGGAGAGAAGGUUAGCACUCCCCUUGAGAAGGAUGGAAGAGAUCCUAGUGGGCUUUACAACACAUAUAUGGUUAAUAAUGUUGGUAUUUGUUAAGCGUUUAGUAUGU